rnacentral:ncRNA from 1 species
CCUCGACGGUCUCGCUUUGGCCGCCUGACGGAGUAAUCCGUCAGUGAAAAUCCCGAGAAUUGCUGGGACCUCCUGCUAGACCUCGGCACCACAACGUGGGGCGAAAGCCCGAGCGUGAUGGUUCGAAAAGCUGAGGGUAGGGAAAAUCAGCAGCCGAGCCCGCCUGGCGAAAGCCGACGGGAAGGUUCACAGACCAUGCACGGGAGAUCCCUCCGGGAUCAAGAUAUGGUCGGGUCUCACGUGAAAGCGUGAG